GGGUGCAUGGUGGUUUAAUGGUUAGCAUGUUCGCUUCACACCUCAAGGGUUGGGGGUUUGAUUCCCUCUGCUGCCC